rnacentral:rRNA from 1 species
AAGACCUUGUGCUUUUGGAGCGGCCGAUGCCUGAUUAGCUUGUUGGUAAGGUAAAAGCUUACCAAGGCUUCGAUCAGUAGCUGGCCUGAGAGGACGACCAGCCACACUGGGACUGAGACACGGCCCAGACUCCUACGGGAGGCAGCAGUGGGGAAUUUUGGACAAUGGGGGCAACCCUGAUCCAGCCAUGCCGCGUGAGUGAAGAAGGCCUUCGGGUUGUAAAGCUCUUUCAGCCGGAACGAAACGGUUACGGAUAAUACCCGUGACUACUGACGGUACCGGAAGAAGAAGCACCGGCUAACUACGUGCCAGCAGCCGCGGUAAUACGUAGGGUGCAAGCGUUAAUCGGAAUUACUGGGCGUAAAGCGUGCGCAGGUGGUUUUGUAAGUCAGAUGUGAAAGCCCCGGGCUCAACCUGGGAACU